rnacentral:rRNA from 1 species
UACGAACUGUGCGAACGUUAUUCGGAAUCACUGGGCUUACAGGGUGCGUAGGCGGCUUGUUAAGUAGGGUGUGAAAUCCCCCGGCUCAACCGGGGAACUGCAUCGGAUACUGGUGGACUCGAGAGUUGUAGGGGUGGACGGAACUCCAGGUGGAGCGGUGAAAUGCGUAGAUAUCUGGAGGAACACCGGAGGCGAAAGCGGUCCACUGGGCAACUUCUGACGCUGAGGUGCGAAAGCUAGGGUAGCAAACGGG